rnacentral:misc_RNA from 1 species
UGACUACGCCCUGGUGUCCACGGCUAGAAUGACCAAUACCUCGUUUGCCCUACCACACUUUCCUACCUUGCACGUGCGUACAACGCGUCACUCUCUCAUUGGACAAUAAAUCCUUCCUACGAUACCCGACGAAAACACCCGAAUACCGUACCUAUAGGACAAUUAUUUUCCGCUAUUCUCCGAAACGCGGAAAAUAUGAAAUAACCGGAAUGUAGUGACGGGAUUAUAGGGUGCUUUGUACCAAUCACGAUCAUUUGAUUAGAAAGGACGGGCACUCUCUCUCAAAUAUAAAUAGGGCCUACUUUGAAGUUUGUUAGAUUACAUGAGAAUACAAUACAAUAUUCAUCACUUGCCCCGGAAAGUGCCGACAGUCUCCGACUGAUCUGGCCUAUAACAUCCCAACGCCGACAGAUCAGUGAGGCGAAACCCGCAUGGGUGGAGUCACCCGUCAACCAACCAACCAAUUUAUACUUCCUUUUUCUGGCCGAGUCCCGAAUGAAGAAGGCUCGUUUGGCAGACGGGCAUAAAAAGCCCUAAGGUUUUCAAAACUGUUAUGUAAAUAUCAUCAACAAACACCUAUGUGAGCGGCACAGGCCGAUGUUGUCUCUACCACUGUUCCAUCGCUCAGCAGACCUAGAGGUGUGGACAUCACAGUGUGGUGAAGACGUGAUGAGCGGACGAGUGCAGAUAAACCUGAAGAUUUUCAAAACAAUGGUGUGAAAUCAUCAACAAUAAACCAUGCCAAAGGGUGACAGUAAAGGGAGUAAAGGGAAGGGACCGGCCUGUAGACCUACAGCCCGCCGACCCACAGCCCGCCAUCACAACCCUGAAUCAGAAGAUGACACUCCUGAGCAAUCACGGCCGAGCAGGAUGAUCCGACCAAGCACUGCUAGUCAGGAGGAAAACAUUCGUAAGCACCAUGCAGAUAUGGUACGUGAAUUAAGUGAAAUGUUUUCACUUAAAUCAAAACCAGGGCAUGUUAUUUGCUCCAGAGAUGGUCUGUCGAACCUGGUAACGGAUAAUGUAAAAGAUAUGUUUGAUCUGUGCAGAGCCUUAAUGAAGGAAGGAAAAAUCAUGUAUGGAGAGUACAGUAAACUACGUGAAAUUCUUGUUGAGUGUGGUGUGGAGGCAGGAGAGACCAUUGACAAGUAUACAAAGAUGAUACGUGGGGAAAGUGAAGGUAAUGUUUAUUGUAUGUUAUUAUAUAUUCAAUGAUACUGUCUUGAAAUGAAUAUAAUAUUGGGUUCCAGAUUUUGUCUUGUUUCAUGGUAAAUAAUUUUUAUUUUACUUUCCAGAAGAAUUUACCCCAUCCAACAAAAGGUUAUUACCCUUAUUAUUUUCAAAUCACCCAUUUUCUGUGCUCCGUCCGUCGGUCCUUUAACAAUUCUUGUUAGUGCUAUUUCUC